rnacentral:lncRNA from 1 species
CACCUGAACCUUCAUGCAAACGUCUGUGGUUAUUUGUCUCCACAUGUUUCAGCAGAUGAGGUGAUUUGAAUGCAGCAAAAAAUUUAAUAGCUUAAGUUGAAACAGGAAUUAUCCUAAGGGAAUCUGUAGAAAUGCAUUCAAGAGCAGAUGAGCUAUAUCUAUUUCUUUCAUGCUUUGGUGUAGUAAGUAAUUGUUCAUAGCCAAACGCUUUACGAAGAUAAAUGAUUGAUAUAAUGAAUGACCCGAAGAUGCCCAAGAGCACAUGAAAACAGAAAUGCCUUUGUUCUGAAGGAGAAUGUCUUAGUAUAGUUAUAAAUUGAAUGUAAAAAUUGUGGCUGAAAUUAUUCUAAAAAUCACAAGAAGCUGCAUUUAAACUGUGCUAUGGCAUCUAUUCAAAAGAUUUGAAACCAUUUGUUUUCUGAAUUGCACCCAACAUAAAGCUUUCUCACACAGAACAAAACAGAAGUGAGCAUCAGUCACACUUCCAACAUGCAUACAUUUUGCUCUAAAGGAACAGCUGUUACUUGAUGAAAAGUCGAUGAAAGAUGCCCAACAUUUGUUUUUAAAAAGUUAUCACCCAAACAAGAAUUGUUUGGAACCAGAUGCUAAAAUCGAGAGUGGUCUGUUUAUUUCAGUUCAGAGUGUUAUAAAAAUGUUAAUAAGGUAUUUUUAUGUCUAUUACCCAGCUAUAUUUGACUUUCUAAUGUGCUUUUUGUUAUAAUUGGCUGUUGUUUCUAUAGGCUGGCAUUAUUGGCAUUAGAUCACUGAAGAGUAAAUAAAGUGAGCAAGAAUACUCUCUUGUCACCAGAUUACUGAGGUGUACUGGAGACUCAGCUAGCAAAAAAGAGAAGCAGCUGAACAUCAAAAGAGAAGCAGCAGCUGGGCAUCAGAGACUACGGUUGGACGUUGGAGAGAAGCAGCUUGAUUUCAGAGAGACAGCUUGACAGUGCAACUUUGGAGAAGAGUCCAGCCAGAAACCUUCCUGCUACAUCUCCUUCCCAGCUGCCCUUCCUGCUGAGAGCCACUUUCCUUGGCAAUAAAAUCCUCUGCAUUUACCAUCCUUCAAUUCGUUUCUGUGAGCUGAUUUUUUCCUGGAUGCCAAACAAGAGCUCAGGAGUGAGUGUGGAUACAAAAAGGCAUGCUGAGCUGCUAACACUUCAGCUGUCUGAAGACGGCAGAGCUAAAGGAGCACUGUAAUAUGCCCACUGGGGCUUCAGGAAUCACAGGCACCCCCCUAACCCCAGGGGCUGCUAUGGGGCCCACAUGGAGUUUGCUCCUGCCAACACCCCAAAGCUCUCUUCCUGGCUCCUGUACCUGCUCACCUGCAUGCUCUCUCCUGCAAGAGGUGGAACACAGCAGGUCAGAGUGGGUGAGUUCACUCCUUCUGGCACCAAAGAGGCCACUGGUUCCAGCACUCGUGUACUCCAGUUCCUGCCUUGUUCAAUUGCGCACUCCCUCCCUUGAGGAGUUGAGAGCAGUGGGCUGAGUAAAUGGGGCACCCCUGUCACGAGUCCCAUGAAGGGGUCAGGGAAAUGCCCUGCUUCAGGAGGAUCUCUUGAGCCCAGGAGGUGAAGGAUGCACUGAGCCAAGAUCGUGCAACUGAACUCUGGCCUGGGUGACAGAGUGAGACUCUGUCUCAAAAUAAAUAAAUAAAUAAUUUAAUUAAUUAAAUUUAGCUUAUUCUUUUGAACUUCAUUCUUCAUAGUGUUAUAAAAUACAUGAUUUAAGACAGUGAGAAAGAGAGAGAAGCCAAUGAUGG